AGAGUUUGAUCCUGGCUCAGAUUGAACGCUGGCGGCAUGCCUAACACAUGCAAGUCGAACGGCAGCACAGUGUGUAGCAAUACACAUGGGUGGCGAGUGGCGGACGGGUGAGUAAUGCGUAGGAAUCUACCUUCAAGUGGGGGAUAGCCCGGAGAAAUCCGGAUUAAUACCGCAUGUUCUCUACGGAGAAAAGCGGGCCUCUGUUUCAAGCUCGCGCUUGAAGAUGAGCCUACGUCGGAUUAGCUAGUUGGUAGGGUAAAAGCCUACCAAGGCGACGAUCCGUAGCUGGUUUGAGAGGAUGAUCAGCCACACUGGGACUGAGACACGGCCCAGACUCCUACGGGAGGCAGCAGUGGGGAAUAUUGGACAAUGGGCGCAAGCCUGAUCCAGCAAUGCCGCGUGUGUGAAGAAGGCCUGCGGGUUGUAAAGCACUUUUAUCGGGAAAGAAAAGCUUGGGGCUAAUAUCUUCAAGCCUUGACGGUACCCGUGAAUAAG
rnacentral:rRNA from 1 species